rnacentral:rRNA from 1 species
AUGUCGAGCUCCACUUCAGCCUCCUGCCCCUCGUGGACCCAGUAUGGUCCACUUCCUAUGGAGCGAUGUCCUGACUACCCACGCAGCGCGCCACUAAUAGGGUUGACUUCGAAGGAGUUCAAGAAUGGCAACUAUGGGCGCGAGUUCGUGAAAUGCGAGAGCAAGCCAGAGGGAUCAUGUAGAAAUGCACACAUUUUGAAUGGUUGGAUGACUACGUUAAGCGGAUUCAAUUCAAUGGGGCCCCAACCCGAGAGCUCAAUCUACCGUCAGCAACAACGAAUUUGGUCUCUGAAAGUGCUGCUCUGA